UUCAUUUUCCAGACGGUUGCAAUAUCAUUCCUGAUUUUUUUCCAUGCCCUGUAAGCUCUGAAAAUGCAAAGGAUAUCCAGGAAAGCUGCCAUAGUUCACUUGUGUGGGAUGAAAUGGUAGAGAAAAAGGGUUUUCUGAGAAGGGGACACCAAGGAUUCAGAGAAGGCUUCUCCAAGCCAGCAGCCAAGAGGCAGAUUCCAAAACUGAGGAGUUGCAUCUCCUUGACUCCCAGAUGGAGCCACAUGGAGAUCUCCAACACAGGGGAACAUCACCCCAGUGCCAGAGUUCACAUUUGUUGGCCCACCUCACCAGGCUUUUGGCAGCUCUGCCAGGUUCCACCACAUAUGGAGUCUUGUUCCAUGGGAAAACAUGGCAUUGUUUUGUCCCAGUAA